rnacentral:rRNA from 1 species
ACUCGAGUGGCGAACGGGUGAGUAACACGUGGGUAAUCUGCCCUGCACUCUGGGAUAAGCCUGGGAAACUGGGUCUAAUACCGGAUAGGAGCCAUUUUUAGUGUGAUGGUUGGAAAGUUUUUUCGGUGUAGGAUGAGCUCGCGGCCUAUCAGCUUGUUGGUGGGGUAAUGGCCUACCAAGGCGGCGACGGGUAGCCGGCCUGAGAGGGUGGACGGCCACAUUGGGACUGAGAUACGGCCCAG